GUCUUUUUGAAAUAAUAAUUUAAAGUCUAAUCUGCCCACUGAUAAUAAAUUAAAGGGCUGCAGUAUUUUGACUGUACAAAGGUAGCAUAAUCAUUAGUCUCUUAAUUGGUGACUUGUAUGAAAGAUUUGAUGAAAUAUAUACUGUCUCUUUUUAAUUUAUAGAAUUUAAUUUUUUAGUUAAAAAGCUAAAAUAUAUUUAAAAGACGAGAAGACCCUAUAGAGUUUAAUAUUUACUUAAUUUAUUAAAAUUUUUUAUAAAAUUUAUAAUUUUAAUAUGUGUAAAUAUUUUGUUGGGGUGAUAAAAAAAUUAAAAUAACUUUUUUUUAUAAUUUUACAUUAAUAAAUGAGUAAGUGAUCCGUAAUUUACGAUUAUAAGAAAAAAUUACCUUAGGGAUAACAGCGUAAUUUUUUUUUUUAGUUCAAAUAAGAAAAAAAGUUUGCGACCUCGAUGUUGGAUUAAGAUAAAAUUUGAAUGCAAAAGUUUAAAAUUUUUGAUCUGUUCGAUCAUUAAAAUCUUACA
rnacentral:rRNA from 1 species